rnacentral:rRNA from 1 species
AACGAACGCUGGCGGCAUCCCUAACACAUGCAAGUCGAACGAGACCUUCGGGUCUAGUGGCGCACGGGUGCGUAACGCGUGGGAACCUGCCCUUAGGUUCGGAAUAACUCCCCGAAAGGGGUGCUAAUACCGGAUAAUGUCUUCGGACCAAAGAUUUAUCGCCUUUGGAUGGGCCCGCGUUGGAUUAGCUAGUUGGUAGGGUAAAAGCCUACCAAGGCGACGAUCCAUAGCUGGUCUGAGAGGAUGAUCAGCCACACUGGGACUGAGACACGGCCCAGACUCCUACGGGAGGCAGCAGUGGGGAAUAUUGGACAAUGGGCGAAAGCCUGAUCCAGCAAUGCCGCGUGAGUGAUGAAGGCCUUAGGGUUGUAAAGCUCUUUUACCCGGGAUGAUAAUGACAGUACCGGGAGAAUAAGUUCCGGCUAACUCCGUG